rnacentral:rRNA from 1 species
CCCGCACAAGCGGUGGAGCAUGUGGUUUAAUUCGAAGCAACGCGAAGAACCUUACCAGGUCUUGACAUCCUCUGACAAUCCUAGAGAUAGGACUUUCCCCUUCGGGGGACAGAGUGACAGGUGGUGCAUGGUUGUCGUCAGCUCGUGUCGUGAGAUGUUGGGUUAAGUCCCGCAACGAGCGCAACCCUUAUUCUUAGUUGCCAGCAUUAAGUUGGGCACUCUAAGGAGACUGCCGGUGACAAACCGGAGGAAGUGGGGAUGACGUCAAAUCAUCAUGCCCCUUAUGACCUGGGCUACACACGUGCUACAAUGGAUGGUACAAAGGGCUGCAAAC